GCGCCACGACGGGAACUCCUAUUAUAGCUUUUCUAAUGGGUAUAUUCCACAAUAGUAUCUCAUUGUGAUUUUAAUUUGCAUUUCUCUAAAGCCCAAUGAUCCUGAACACAUUUUCAUGUCCUUAUUAGUUAUUUGGAUGUCUCUGGUGAAAUGUCUAUUCAGGCCUUUUGUAUGUUUUUAAAUAAGGUUAUUGUCGAAUUAUGAGAGUUCUUUGUAUACGCUAGAUACAGGUCUUUCAUCAGAUAUAUCAUCUGCAGUAUUUUCUUCUAGCCAGUGGCUUGUUUUUUCUUUCUUUUUUUUUUUCUUUUUAGGGCCAAAUCCAAAGCAUAUGAAAGUUAACAGGCUAGAAGUCGAAUUGGAGCUGUAGCUCCUGGCCUUCACCACAGCCACAGCAAUGGGGUUUCUGAGCCGCAUCUGUGACCUACACCACAGCUGAUGGCAACACCGGAUUCUUUAACCCACUGAGCGAGGCCAGGGAUCGAACCAGCACCCUCAUGGAUACUAGUCAGAUUCAUUACUACUGAGACAUGAUAGGGACUUCCUUCAUUUCCUUUUUGUUUUUCGUCUGAGCCUGCAGCACGUGGAAGUUCCUAGGCCACGGAUCAUUAGUUCACCAUUAAUCUAAGUGUUUUUUUCUGGUCUGUUAAUCUACAUUCCUAUCUUUUAACAAUACUAUGUUCUCUUGAUUACUUUAGGGCUUUCUAGUAAGUUUUGAAAUCUGUAAGUCUUUCAACUUUAUUCUUUUUCAAAAUUGUUUUGGUUCUCCCAGGUCCUUUACAUUUCCAUCAGCUUGUCAACUUCUACAAAGAAGCCUACUAGGGUUUGGGUAAGAAUUACAUUGAAACUAUAUAUCAAUUUGGGAAAAAUUAUCAUCUUACUAAUUACUUAUUGGAGUUCCCUGGCGGUUCAGAGGGUGAAGGAUCUGGCAUUGUCACUGCUGUGGCACAGGUUUGAUCUCUGGCCUGGGAACUUUUGUUUGGCAAAGUGGCCAAACAAAGCAAUUACUUCUUUAAUUUCUUCUUCUUUUUUUUUUUUUUUUCCUGGGAACCUCCUUAUGCUGAGGGUGUGGCCCUGAAAAAAAAAAAAAAGACAAAUUUAGAAAUUAUUAAUUUUGACAAUUAUGUUUAUAUUCUUUGCAAUUGUAUUCUUUCUGAAGCUCAGAUUGUCCCAUCUCUGGACAGUGGGAGUCCCUUCAAGUUGAUUUCUGAAUCCUUUGGCACAGCCUCAGUAGUUUUGUUUUUUGAAGGUUUGGAUGGUUUUCCAUAUUUAAAAUAAGACUUAGUAUAUUUUUUUUCUUCUUUCUUUUUGGCCAUGCCCACUGGCAUGCAGAAAUUCCCAUCUAGGGGUCAGACCUGCGUACCAUAGCAGUGACAAUACCAGAUCCCAAUUUUAUGAUUUUUUUUUUUUCUUUUUUAGGGUUUCACCCUCAGCAUAAGGAAGUUCCCAAGCUAGGGGUUGAAUCAGAGGUGUAGCUGCCAGCCUAGGCCAUAGCCACAGCAACACGGGAAUCCGAGCUGCGUCUUCAACCUACACUACAGCUCAUGGGAAUUCCUGAUCCCUGACCCACUGAGCCAGGCCAGGGAUCGAACCCGCAUUCUCACGUAUACUAGUCGGAUUAGUUUCCACUGCACCACAAUGGGAACUCCCCCAAUUUUAUGAUUUUUUUUUUUAAUUUAUUUAUUUUUUUGUCUUUUGUCUUUUGUUGUUGCUAUUUCUUGGGCCGCUCCCGCGGUAUAUGGAGGUUCCCAGGCUAGGGGUCGCAUCGGAGCUGUAGNCUGAGCAAGGGCAGGGACCGAACCCGCAACCUCAUGGUUCCUAGUCGGAUUCGUUAACCACUGCGCCACGACGGGAACUCCCAAUUUUAUGAUUUUUUUUUUCUUUUUUGUCUUUUUGCCUUUUCUAGGGCUGCUCCCGUGGCAUAUGGAGGUUCCCAGGCUAAAGGUCAAAUCAGAGCUAUAGCCAUUGGCGUACGCCAGAGCCAAAGCAACGCUGGAUCUGAGCUGCAUCUGCAACCUACACCACAGCUUGCGGCAAGGCCGGAUCCUUAACCCACUGAGCAAGGCCAGGGAUCGAACCCACAACCUCAUGAUUCCUAGUCGGAUUCAUUAACCACUGAGCCACGAUGGAAACUCCAACCCAAUUUUAUUAUUUUGAUGUUAUUUUUUUUUAAUUUUUUUAAUUUUUUUUUGUCUUUUGUUGUUGUUGUUGUUGCUAUCUCUUGGGCCGCUUCCGCGGCAUAUGGAGGUUCCCAGGCUAGGGGUUGAAUCGGAGCUGUAGCCACCGGCCUACGCCAGAGCCACAGCAACGCGGGAUCCGAGGCACGUCUGCAACCUACACCACAGCUCACGGCAACGCCGGAUUGUUAACCCACUGAGCAAGGGCAGGGACCGAACCCGCAACCUCAUGGUUCCUAGUCGGAUUCGUUAACCACUGCGCCACGACGGGAACUCCCUGAUGUUAUGUUUUUAAAGGUGCUCAAUAAAACUUCAAAUCUCAAAAUCAGAAGAUCACAAAUUUAAGGUGUGCAGUAAAACAACCCCAGUGGUCUUUGAUAGUAGCUUCCUUGCUUACUGGUCUGAAUGUGCCUUGGACAUGUUGCCAUUGUGUCUUUGGAAUAUAUUCCUUGAAGUAGAACUGUUAGAUUGAAGGGUAAAAGCAUAUGCAAUUUUGCUAAAUAGUGCAAAAGGAGUUAUGCUGUUUUGCAUUUCCACAAUAUAUGGCAGCCUUUUUACCACAAUUUCUUCAAUGGUUUGUGUUAAGCCUUUGGAUUUUUGCUAGUCUAGUGGAUCAGAAAUGGUAUCUCUAAGUAGUUUUAAUUUUAGCUUUUUUUUUUUUUUUUUUUUAUGGCCACACCCUUGGCAUAUGGAAGUUCGCAGGCCAGGGAUUGAAUCUGAGCCUCAGCUGUGACUUACACCGCAGCUGCGGCAAUGCUGGAUUCUUUUUUUUUUUUUUUUUUUUUUGUCUUUUUGUCUUUUGUUGUUGCUAUUUCUUGGGCCGCUCCCGCGGCAUAUGGAGGUUCCCAGGCUAGGGGUUGAAUCGGAGCUGUAGCCACCGGCCUACGCCAGAGCCACAGCAACGCGGGAUCCGAGCCCCGUCUGCAACCUACACCACAGCUCACGGCAACGCCGGAUCGUUAACCCACUGAGCAAGGGCAGGGACCGAACCCGCAACCUCAUGGUUCCUAGUCGGAUUCGUUAACCACUGCGCCACGACGGGAACUCCCAAUGCUGGAUUCUUUUAACCCACAAUUCUGGGCCCAGGAUUGAAUCGUGCCUCCACAGUGACCCAAGCUACUGUAGUGGGUUUCUUAACCCAGCAUGCAACAGUGGGAACUCCUAAUUUUGGUAUAUUUUUUUGUUUAACAGCACAUUUACUAAGUCAAUGGUAGUGAGUUUAUAUUAACAUAUAAAGAAAGAAAUUUGUCAUUAGACAUUGAAAAUUUAAUGAGUUGGCUCUGAACCUCAAGCUGCAGGUUAUUUACUUAGAUUUUUAGUGAGGAAUAAGAUGGAUUUAUUUUGUUUUGUUUUACUUUUUUAGGGCUGCAUUCUGUGGCAUAUGGAAGUUCCAAGGCUAGGGGUCUAAUGGGACCUGCAGCUGCCAACCUAUGUCAAAGCCACAGUAAUGUCAGACCCGAGCUGGGUCUGCGACUUAUACCACAGCUCACGGCAACACCAGAUCCUUUAACCCACCAAGUGAGGCCAGGGAUUGAACCCACAUCCUCAUGGAUACUAGUCGGAUUCUUAAUCCACUGAGCUACAACAGGAACUCCCUGUUUGUUCUUUGUUUGGGGUUUUUUUGUGUGUUUUUUGCCUCACCCGCAGCGUACAGAAAUUCCAGGGCCAGGGAUUGAACCACCAUAGCAAUGAUUUGAGUCACUGCAGUGACAAUGAUGAUUGUUAAGCCGCUGUGCCAUCAGGGAAACUCCUAUGAUGAACUUGUUACGACAACAACCACGUUAAUAAAAUAUUCAAUUAAAAAAUAAGGAUUUUUUAUCCUUAGCAUGGUGCAGUAAAUAUCAACUCUGGUCUCAUACUUGGAAAAUGCUUUAUAAUCAACAGAUAACUUUUAUAGUCAUUAUCUAAUUUGACUGUCAUGAUUAUUCCUGAGAGAUAGGGCAGAUACUAUGCCUAUUUUGUAGAAGGGGAAACAUAUUUUAUGUUGUGAGCCACACGGGAAGUCCAAGGGGAAACUUAUAUUUUAAAAGAUUGAGAUUUUCCAGUUUGACCCAGCAAAUGACAGAGCUGGGUUUAAAUUUUAAACUUCGAUGCACCUAGGUAUAAAUUCUAUGCUUUCUCUUCCUGGUAUUUGCUAAAGGAUGCCUGACCUGUAUUACCCAGGAGGUGGCAGUAUUCUGUUUAUGUUCUUUGGAAUUUACUUUCCCAUUGGAGAGUCUUUAAAGAAAUUGAAAACUAUUCUUUCAGCUAACAUUCUUGAGCAUAAAUUCUGUUUAGGUGUUAAAGAUAAAAGAUUAAUAAAGUUGGCACCUGCAUCCUAGGAGCUCACCAUCUGAGUGCAAGACCUAGGGCACUAGGGUUAAAAGCCUACAAAAAUUUUGUACAAAAUGCUACUGGGAUACAGAUUUAUAAUGAGCUUUUUGAGGUAGUGUCUUUUUAUGUGAUAAUGGGGUAUGUGAUAAUUUUAUCUAGUACACAGAUGAUAGACCUGAGUAAAUUUAAGCUGUCUGAUUUCCUAAUGACCAAAAACAAAAAAACAAAAACAAAAA
rnacentral:lncRNA from 1 species